UGAUUGCCUUCCAAAGGACAUGGGUUCAA
rnacentral:piRNA from 1 species